rnacentral:rRNA from 1 species
GGUCAGCAUACUGCCGUGAAUACGUUCCCGGGCCUUGUACACACCGCCCGUCACACCAUGAGAGUUGGGGAUACCCAAAGCCCGUGAGCCAACUUUUAGAGGCAGCGGUCUAAGGUAGAAUCAAUGAUUGGGGUGAAGUCGUAACAAGGUAAC